AAUUGAAGAGUUUGAUCAUGGCUCAGAUUGAACGCUGGCGGCAGGCCUAACACAUGCAAGUCGAACGGUAACAGAAAGCAGCUUGCUGCUUUGCUGACGAGUGGCGGACGGGUGAGUAAUGUCUGGGAAACUGCCUGAUGGAGGGGGAUAACUACUGGAAACGGUAGCUAAUACCGCAUAACGUCGCAAGACCAAAGAGGGGGACCUUAGGGCCUCUUGCCAUCGGAUGUGCCCAGAUGGGAUUAGCUAGUAGGUGGGGUAACGGCUCACCUAGGCGACGAUCCCUAGCUGGUCUGAGAGGAUGACCAGCCACACUGGAACUGAGAGACGGUCCAGACUCCUACGGGAGGCAGCAGUGGGGAAUAUUGCACAAUGGGCGCAAGCCUGAUGCAGCCAUGCCGCGUGUAUGAAGAAGGCCUUCGGGUUGUAAAGUACUUUCAGCGGGGAGGAAGGGAGUAAAGUUAAUACCUUUGCUCAUUGACGUUACCCGCAGAAGAAGCACCGGCUAACUCCGUGCCAGCAGCCGCGGUAAUACGGAGGGUGCAAGCGUUAAUCGGAAUUACUGGGCGUAAAGCGCACGCAGGCGGUUUGUUAAGUCAGAUGUGAAAUCCCCGGGCUCAACCUGGGAACUGCAUCUGAUACUGGCAAGCUUGAGUCUCGUAGAGGGGGGUAGAAUUCCAGGUGUAGCGGUGAAAUGCGUAGAGAUCUGGAGGAAUACCGGUGGCGAAGGCGGCCCCCUGGACGAAGACUGACGCUCAGGUGCGAAAGCGUGGGGAGCAAACAGGAUUAGAUACCCUGGUAGUCCACGCCGUAAACGAUGUCGACUUGGAGGUUGUGCCCUUGAGGCGUGGCUUCCGGAGCUAACGCGUUAAGUCGACCGCCUGGGGAGUACGGCCGCAAGGUUAAAACUCAAAUGAAUUGACGGGGGCCCGCACAAGCGGUGGAGCAUGUGGUUUAAUUCGAUGCAACGCGAAGAACCUUACCUGGUCUUGACAUCCACGGAAGUUUUCAGAGAUGAGAAUGUGCCUUCGGGAACCGUGAGACAGGUGCUGCAUGGCUGUCGUCAGCUCGUGUUGUGAAAUGUUGGGUUAAGUCCCGCAACGAGCGCAACCCUUAUCCUUUGUUGCCAGCGGUCCGGCCGGGAACUCAAAGGAGACUGCCAGUGAUAAACUGGAGGAAGGUGGGGAUGACGUCAAGUCAUCAUGGCCCUUACGACCAGGGCUACACACGUGCUACAAUGGCGCAUACAAAGAGAAGCGACCUCGCGAGAGCAAGCGGACCUCAUAAAGUGCGUCGUAGUCCGGAUUGGAGUCUGCAACUCGACUCCAUGAAGUCGGAAUCGCUAGUAAUCGUGGAUCAGAAUGCCACGGUGAAUACGUUCCCGGGCCUUGUACACACCGCCCGUCACACCAUGGGAGUGGGUUGCAAAAGAAGUAGGUAGCUUAACCUUCGGGAGGGCGCUUACCACUUUGUGAUUCAUGACUGGGGUGAAGUCGUAACAAGGUAACCGUAGGGGAACCUGCGGUUGGA
rnacentral:rRNA from 1 species